ACAGAAAAAUCUCAGAUCAAUGGCUCCGUCGGACGGAAAAAAAAAAAAAAAAAGACAGCAAAGCAUGACGGGAAUGUUCGGUUAUGAACAGAUAAGAACUUUAGGUGAAACAUAGAUUCUCCACAAAAUGGGGCUAAGAUUUUUUUUUUUAAAUUAGGUGAGCAAAGAAAGAAAAUACAGCACGAGUAAAACAGCAUCCCUCUUCCUGUUGAGAUGCGAAGGCGCCAGCACACUGCGCUCCAUGUUCUCAUACUCCGCGUGUGCAGACAGAUGGCGAAUCCGCGUCGAUGCUGGGAUGGGUUCUGGGCCCUGCAUGAUGAUGCGAGAAAAGGGAAUCGAAGUCGGGUCCACUGCCGUCUGCACUGUAAGGAGGUUCCUGAAAGCCUGCUGCCCACGAGACGGAACCUUCUAUGAUUGCUGCUGAUGAAGGCUCUCCCCAGCGUUGCUUAUGCAGUGACAGCAAGCAAAACGGCCACCUCACACAGCGGCUUCCUCGGAGUGGGGAGGAGGGACAUCGAUGGAGCAUCUCUGAGCUCCUAGGCCAAGGAUGAGAUCUGAAGCACAGUUUUGAACUACACAGCAGCAGCUGCAGCAAUGCUAGAUCCUUUAACCUACUGUGCUGGCCCUGGAAUUGAAGCUGAGUCCUUGGUGCUGCAGGUACGCCACUGAUCUUGUUGUGGGAAUUCCUAUAUUGAUGAAUUUUAAAAAUGGUUGUGUACUUAUGCUAUUGAGAACUGAAGAAAAGUGGAAUUGCACUUUCAGCCCUGUAGUCACAGUAGUAAUACAAAAUUUUAUUUUUCAAUGAAUUUAUUUUUCAAGUUCGUUGUUUAAAGAAACAGUAAGUAAAUAAUAUUAACGAUGGUACCCAGAAAAUGCAAAAAUUGUAAAGGCAGUAAGAGACUGACACUUUGACAAACAGUGACCUGUUGGCAUUGAUUUGUGAGUGCAAGUAGUUGCUGUAACAAACAAGCCCUUUGUUUCAGUGGCUAUAGUGGUCUGUCAUACCUAUGGCCCCCGGUAAACUAUAUCUUUUACUAUGCACACUUGGUAUAGCCAUCUCUCCACAAAUUGGGCUGACUCUGUGACUUGCCCUAAUGUAGAGAACACAGUGGAGGUGAUGCUAGUUCCAUUCCAAGCCUAAGCCUUAGGAAGGUCUGGCAGGUUCCACUUUCCCAUUCUUGGCCACCCUGAGCUCCAGAGAAGAAGUCUGGCUAUGCUGUUGGAGAGACAAAUGGAGGACCACAGGAGAGGCCAUGGGGAAGAGGGAGAGGUCCUGAUAGUGAGAAAAGGAAGGGGUCCUGAUGAGAAAGAGAGAGAGAGAGGCCAGGCAUCCUAGUACCCUAGCUGAACCCAGCCUCCAGCCAACCCACCAGCUGAACAUGUUGGUUGCAUGAGUAACCAGCUACAAGACUGGUGGAGGAAAUGCCCAGCUAAGCCCAACCCGUAGGCUGAAUUGUGUGCAAUUAAAAAUAGCUGUUGUCUUAACCCACUAAGCUUUGAGAUGGCUUGCUAUGCAAUAAUAGGUAAUGAUAUAGAGGGUUUUGAUAGAAUGCAAGUUUCUUUCUCAUUCACCAUAUACUUCAGUGUAGGCUGAGAGCCAGGGGUGCUCUGCUCCAUGCUGUCAUUCAGGGAUUCAGUAUCUUUCCAUAGCGUGGCUCCAACAUCUUCCAGGGCCUUGGAGAGCUCAUCCAGAGCAUCUACACCUGAUUACAGAGGAUUUUGCAGGAGGCGUUUGGUGAGGGGUGAAGCUCUGAAAAUGGCUGGCAGUUACAUGGCCCCACUUAACUUAAAGGGGGGUGGAAAAUGUGACUGAACCAUGUGACCAGGAUAAAUAGGAAAAGUACAGAUUUGCAGAGCCCUACCAUCUCCUCACGCAUGUUAUUAAAACACAUACAUCUCAUACACAACAACACUAAUGACAGUGAGUCUUGUGCUAGAACAUGAAUAAAUGGCUUUGGGGACCCUGACAAAAGAGCAGUGAGUUUUGCUUGGAGCCAGAUGGCCAGUCAGCAAAUACAUAGAGUGGUGAGUAACGUUUUGGACUGAGUUUUGAAGGAUGACUAGGAAUUUUCCAGCCAGAAGGGGAAGGUGAAUCUAGGCAGAGGGUAAAUGGCCAUGAAAGAAAUAUUAUAGGCAGAAAGAAGUUAAAGAAAUAGCCACGAAAUGAAUGAAACUAGGUUCGGAUGACCCGUUUUGAGGCCUCAGAGUAGGAUGGCGUUAGAGGACCCCUGGGGUUUUCAGAUACAUGAACUUUUAGGUUGAACCCAUUUUGAGCUGAGUUCAGUUACUUGUAAACCAAAGACCCCUGAUAAGUAAUCCUUCCUCAUUUAAAAUUCUAGGAUUAUUAAUUUCUAAACAAGUAAUAUCCAUUGCAUCAUCCAAGACCAAUCACCCAAAAGUGCAGUAGGAGACAGCUAGAUAAUAAACAUAAAGCAUCCCCAACCAGAUCUUUACCCCUGGUCUAUCCGGUCAGAGUCCUUGAUUAGUUACUCUAUUACCUCUUCUUUGGAGUCAAAACAUUUCCAUCUUGGGAGCUCCCUGGUGGUACAACAGGUUAAGGAUCUGGCGUUGUCACUGCUGUGGCUUGUGUUGCUGCUGUGGUGAGGGUUUGAUCCCUGGCUGGGGAACUUCUGGGGAACACAGGUGCGGCCAAAAAAACCCCCCUCAAUUGUUCUAAAAACAUUUCUGUCUCUGAACCUCUGGCUCCCCUCUGUCAGAGGGCAUUGCAGCAGACAUAUCACAGGGGCGUCCCCUUAGCUCCUCCUGGAACUAUGCCAUCCCAAGGGACCUACUUCUGGCUACAGAUGAUUAGAUGAGAGGUAGCCACCUGACUCUUGAUAAGCCAAUCACAUUCUCUCCUAUUAGAACUGGAACGAGAGACUCAAAAUCUCCAGAGAGACAUUGAUAAGCCUGCAGUUGACAGUCUGGGACUUAGGAUCUGUUUUUAGCAAGGAGCAAGUUGGAAGGUGGAUAGCUGGAAAUUCAUCUUCAGAGAAAGGCUGGAGCAGAAACAGAUAACAGAGAAGCAGUAGAGGCUGAGAAUGGAGAGAAAGAAAGGAGGGGCAUGGCCCAGUUCCUUUCCACUUCCCAGGACCCCCAACCCAAUGUCCUGCUUUUGUUUUUCAUGUUCUCCCUUGUAACCUCCUAAGAAGCCCCCUUCUCUUAGAGCAUUUGGAUAGGUUACUGUUCUUUGUGAAAUAAAUUAUUCCUGGCUGAAGCAGAGAACACAACAAUUUGUUGGCGCUAUUGCAAGACUAAUAACAUCGUAAUAUAAAAGUAUGAUCAUGAAGCAAAUGGAGGGUAAAAAUAUGAGAAUGUUGUUGUGGCGAUUGCGUGCGAUUAUCCAUGAUAGGCAUAGUUCCUGGCACAUAAUAGGUGCGCUGACUCCCAAACAUGCCGCUGUGACCAUUACGACAACCCUUAGUGUUCCUCGAACAGCCUCCAUACACACACACAUUCCUGAGUGUGUGACUUUACUGAGGAUUUAAUAAGGAAUGGAGAAGGGUUACCUCACCUGGCACACAACUGCCCACCUCAAAUCCCAAUACAUAUCCUCUUCUACAAAGACUGUAUCCAGCCAUGGCCUACAAAGUAUUUUUUUCUUUCCUUCUCCCAAGAAGGCCCCAGACACAUGACCUCUUCUCUACCUCCAGAGUUCCCAGCUCCACCCCAGACUUGCACAGCCAAUCCCAUCCAGGUCCUCAGCAGAACAAAGGCUCUCCAUGUAAUAGUCAGCCUGUUCCCUGCUUACACUAACCAUGGCGACUGAGGUUGAGCAGACCACUGUCGGCUCCAGUGUUGGCCCUCGGAGUGAAGCUAGAUCUGGCUCUGCCAAGAGACCAACAGGACAGAACAUCAGCUCCCAUCCAGGACCGGGGUCUGAUUCAAUCUCUCCCUGACAGAUGCUGUGUGACGCUGGCGGGCCCGCCCUUUGUCAGCCUUCUCCUCCCCAUUGCUCUCUCUCUCACCUCCCUUGCCCGUCUUAAGGACUCUUGAAGAUGACACAUCAGGCAAAUGCCAAGUUGUCAGUGAUGGAGGUGGAGCCUGAAUGGAACAUUAGGACUCAUCAACAAAAGCUGACAAAAGGGCAGGAAGCCCGAGGCUUGUUCUAGGGGGAAGGUGCUCUGUCUCCACAGAAGGGGAGAAGUCUGGCAGGAGAGGGAGGUUGGAGAAGCUGCGAGAAAUCCUUCUAAUGUACCCGAUGUGUCUUGACAUGUCUUGCAUCUCAUUCUCCACAAAGCUCCAAGACCAUUCAGGAAGUGGGCAUGUGUGGGAGUUUUGAAACAAUGAGGAGCUGCCAGCCCACAUCACAAUUUAACUAAAAUGGGCCCUCAGUGGCCUUUGGUCAAACGUAUUGGUUAACUUAAUUUCAUGCCCGUGCUUUCCAAUUCUACAACACAGUCACCCAGACAAUAAUUUUAUUGGCCCCAGGAACCAUGAUGCAUAUAAGCUUUUAAUUUGCCCAGUAUCCUUGCAACCUUUCUAAAAUAGAUAAAUCACUGAUAUUCAUUGUUGACCUCAAAUUUCAUCAUCACUCAAGUUUCAAGUGUGAAAUUCUGGAAAAAAAAAAAAAAAAAAAA
rnacentral:lncRNA from 1 species